rnacentral:misc_RNA from 1 species
AGCCAUCAUCCUCUCCUUGCAUAGCAAUUCCUGGAUUCCAAGAAGGAUUGGUGCCAAAACCUCUCAGUGGAUAUGGAAUGGAACCAGCUUGAGGAACUUGUUGGAAAAUAGCGUCUCCAGAAGGGAAAUACAUAAACGGCUCCCCAGUUUCUGCAUCAUCCUCUAUCUGUUGCGAUAGAGCGCCAUUAAGACGGUAAUAAGAUGGCUGGUCAAAGGACGAACAUUGUGCAAGUAAUGACCCUCCAGCAACUCCUGGCUCAAAGAAUUCCCUGAGAACUGGAUCAUUGGCACAAUCAGAAUUCCUCGUAGAAGAUGCUUCCAAUAGAGUGAUUUCAAUCCCUUGACUAGCAUCAGAACCUGAAAAAUUCCCAUGACAAGCCACAGCCUGAGUGCAUCCCUCUGAAACAAGCUGGACUCCACUUUCUUUCUCAUUUUCAGGGAAACUAGAAUCCGGUUCAUCACUGCAAACACCAGAAGAGAUUGCCCGAGAAUGAUUUUCAAGAAGCUCAGAAAUUAACCUCUGGAUAAGAGUACGUUUCAGAGACGCCUCAGCAGAGGGAAACCAAUCCACAUUAAGAAAUUUGGAGCGCUCGUUUAUUUUGAAUGGGCUGAAAUUCAGAGGGGCCUCUGCCAAAAAUAGCUCCAGGUAGUGGAGUAGGAACAGACCACAAUCAAAUGAAUUUGCCUGCUGUGGCAACUCAAGUGGGA